rnacentral:rRNA from 1 species
GGUUAAGCGACUAAGCGUACACGGUGGAUGCCCUGGCAGUCAGAGGCGAUGAAGGACGUGCUAAUCUGCGAUAAGCGUCGGUAAGGUGAUAUGAACCGUUAUAACCGGCGAUUUCCGAAUGGGGAAACCCAGUGUGUUUCGACACACUAUCAUUAACUGAAUCCAUAGGUUAAUGAGGCGAACCGGGGGAACUGAAACAUCUAAGUACCCCGAGGAAAAGAAAUCAACCGAGAUUCCCCCAGUAGCGGCGAGCGAACGGGGAGCAGCCCAGAGCCUGAAUCAGUGUGUGUGUUAGUGGAAGCGUCUGGAAAGGCGCGCGAUACAGGGUGACAGCCCCGUACACAAAAAUGCACAUGCUGUGAGCUCGAUGAGUAGGGCGGGACACGUGGUAUCCUGUCUGAAUAUGGGGGGACCAUCCUCCAAGGCUAAAUACUCCUGACUGACCGAUAGUGAACCAGUACCGUGAGGGAAAGGCGAAAAGAACCCCGGCGAGGGGAGUGAAAAAGAACCUGAAACCGUGUACGUACAAGCAGUGGGAGCACGCUUAGGCGUGUGACUGCGUACCUUUUGUAUAAUGGGUCAGCGACUUAUAUUCUGUAGCAAGGUUAACCGAAUAGGGGAGCCGAAGGGAAACCGAGUCUUAACUGGGCGUUAAGUUGCAGGGUAUAGACCCGAAACCCGGUGAUCUAGCCAUGGGCAGGUUGAAGGUUGGGUAACACUAACUGGAGGACCGAACCGACUAAUGUUGAAAAAUUAGCGGAUGACUUGUGGCUGGGGGUGAAAGGCCAAUCAAACCGGGAGAUAGCUGGUUCUCCCCGAAAGCUAUUUAGGUAGCGCCUCGUGAAUUCAUCUCUGGGGGUAGAGCACUGUUUCGGCAAGGGGGUCAUCCCGACUUACCAACCCGAUGCAAACUGCGAAUACCGGAGAAUGUUAUCACGGGAGACACACGGCGGGUGCUAACGUCCGUCGUGAAGAGGGAAACAACCCAGACCGCCAGCUAAGGUCCCAAAGUCAUGGUUAAGUGGGAAACGAUGUGGGAAGGCCCAGACAGCCAGGAUGUUGGCUUAGAAGCAGCCAUCAUUUAAAGAAAGCGUAAUAGCUCACUGGUCGAGUCGGCCUGCGCGGAAGAUGUAACGGGGCUAAACCAUGCACCGAAGCUGCGGCAGCGACGCUUAUGCGUUGUUGGGUAGGGGAGCGUUCUGUAAGCCUGCGAAGGUGUGCUGUGAGGCAUGCUGGAGGUAUCAGAAGUGCGAAUGCUGACAUAAGUAACGAUAAAGCGGGUGAAAAGCCCGCUCGCCGGAAGACCAAGGGUUCCUGUCCAACGUUAAUCGGGGCAGGGUGAGUCGACCCCUAAGGCGAGGCCGAAAGGCGUAGUCGAUGGGAAACAGGUUAAUAUUCCUGUACUUGGUGUUACUGCGAAGGGGGGACGGAGAAGGCUAUGUUGGCCGGGCGACGGUUGUCCCGGUUUAAGCGUGUAGGCUGGUUUUCCAGGCAAAUCCGGAAAAUCAAGGCUGAGGCGUGAUGACGAGGCACUACGGUGCUGAAGCAACAAAUGCCCUGCUUCCAGGAAAAGCCUCUAAGCAUCAGGUAACAUCAAAUCGUACCCCAAACCGACACAGGUGGUCAGGUAGAGAAUACCAAGGCGCUUGAGAGAACUCGGGUGAAGGAACUAGGCAAAAUGGUGCCGUAACUUCGGGAGAAGGCACGCUGAUAUGUAGGUGAAGUCCCUUGCGGAUGGAGCUGAAAUCAGUCGAAGAUACCAGCUGGCUGCAACUGUUUAUUAAAAACACAGCACUGUGCAAACACGAAAGUGGACGUAUACGGUGUGACGCCUGCCCGGUGCCGGAAGGUUAAUUGAUGGGGUCAGCGCAAGCGAAGCUCUUGAUCGAAGCCCCGGUAAACGGCGGCCGUAACUAUAACGGUCCUAAGGUAGCGAAAUUCCUUGUCGGGUAAGUUCCGACCUGCACGAAUGGCGUAAUGAUGGCCAGGCUGUCUCCACCCGAGACUCAGUGAAAUUGAACUCGCUGUGAAGAUGCAGUGUACCCGCGGCAAGACGGAAAGACCCCGUGAACCUUUACUAUAGCUUGACACUGAACAUUGAGCCUUGAUGUGUAGGAUAGGUGGGAGGCUUUGAAGUGUGGACGCCAGUCUGCAUGGAGCCGACCUUGAAAUACCACCCUUUAAUGUUUGAUGUUCUAACGUUGACCCGUAAUCCGGGUUGCGGACAGUGUCUGGUGGGUAGUUUGACUGGGGCGGUCUCCUCCUAAAGAGUAACGGAGGAGCACGAAGGUUGGCUAAUCCUGGUCGGACAUCAGGAGGUUAGUGCAAUGGCAUAAGCCAGCUUGACUGCGAGCGUGACGGCGCGAGCAGGUGCGAAAGCAGGUCAUAGUGAUCCGGUGGUUCUGAAUGGAAGGGCCAUCGCUCAACGGAUAAAAGGUACUCCGGGGAUAACAGGCUGAUACCGCCCAAGAGUUCAUAUCGACGGCGGUGUUUGGCACCUCGAUGUCGGCUCAUCACAUCCUGGGGCUGAAGUAGGUCCCAAGGGUAUGGCUGUUCGCCAUUUAAAGUGGUACGCGAGCUGGGUUUAGAACGUCGUGAGACAGUUCGGUCCCUAUCUGCCGUGGGCGCUGGAGAAUUGAGGGGGGCUGCUCCUAGUACGAGAGGACCGGAGUGGACGCAUCACUGGUGUUCGGGUUGUCAUGCCAAUGGCACUGCCCGGUAGCUAAAUGCGGAAGAGAUAAGUGCUGAAAGCAUCUAAGCACGAAACUUGCCCCGAGAUGAGUUCUCCCUGACUCCUUGAGAGUCCUGAAGGAACGUUGAAGACGACGACGUUGAUAGGCCGGGUGUGUAAGCGCAGCGAUGCGUUGAGCUAACCGGUACUAAUGAACCGUGAGGCUUAACCUU